rnacentral:rRNA from 1 species
GAUGAACGCUGGCGGCGUGCUUAACACAUGCAAGUCGAACGAUGAAGCCCAGCUUGCUGGGUGUAUUAGUGGCGAACGGGUGAGUAACACGUGAGUAACCUGCCCUUAACUCUUGGAUAAGCCUGGGAAACUGGGUCUAUUACCGGAUAGGAGCGUCCACCGCAUGGUGGGUGUUGGGAAGAUUUAUCGGUUUUGGAUGGACUCGCGGCCUAUCAGCUUGUUGGUGAGGUAAUGGCUCACCAAGGCGACGACGGGUAGCCGGCCUGAGAGGGUGACCGGCCACAAUGGGACUGAGACACGGCGCAGACGGCUACGGGAGGCAGCAGUGGGGAAUAUUGCACAAUGGGCGCAAGCCUGAUGCAGCGACGCCGCGUGAGGGAUGACGGCCUUCGGGUUGUAAACAGCUUUAAGUAGGGAAGAAGCGAAAGUGACGGUACCUGAAGAAGAAGCACCGGCUAACUACGUG